UACAGAGGGGGCAAGCGUUGUUCGGAAUUACUGGGCGUAAAGGGCGCGUAGGCGGCCUGCUAAGUCGAACGUGAAAUCCCCGGGCUCAACCCGGGAACUGCGUCCGAUACUGGUUGGCUUGAAUCCGGGAGAGGGUAGUGGAAUUCCCGGUGUAGUGGUGAAAUGCGUAGAUAUCGGGAGGAACACCAGUGGCGAAGGCGACUACCUGGCCUGUUCUUGACGCUGAGGCGCGAAAGCUAGGGGAGCAAACGGG
rnacentral:rRNA from 1 species